GUCCGCACGAGCGCNACCCCUUAUCCUUAGUUGCCAGCACGUAAUGGUGGGAACUCUAAGGANACUGCCGGUGACAAACCGGAGGAAGGUGGGGACGACGUCAAGUCAUCAUGGCCCUUACGAGAUGGGCUACACACGUGCUACAAUGGCAAGUACAAAGGGUUGCAAACUCGCGAGAGUAAGCGGAUCCCAUAAAGCUUGUCGUAGUCCGGAUUGGAGUCUGCAACUCGACUCCAUGAAGUCGGAAUCGCUAGUAAUCGUGGAUCAGAAUGCCACGGUGAAUACGUUCCCGGGCCUUGUACACACCGCCCGUCACACCAUGGGAGUGGGCUGCAAAAGAAGUGGAUAGCUUAACCUUCGGGAGGGCGUUCACCACUUUGUGGUUCAUGACUGGGGUGAAGUCGUAACAAGGUAGCCGUAGGGGAACCUGCGGCUGGAUCACCUCCUU
rnacentral:rRNA from 1 species